rnacentral:lncRNA from 1 species
GUUUUUUUAACAUAUAACACCAUUUAAACCAUGUUCACCAAGACCUGUGAGUGCAAACUAUUUUUGUGAUAUAAAUAUUUUUAGUAAUGUUUUGUUUUUUUCCAAGCCCAAACCUUGCUUUAUAAGACAGCAGUAUUCUAUGUAGAAUCAUACACACUUGGUAAAGAAUGGUGUUUGUUUAUUAAGUAAAAGAGAAUCAGAUUGCUUUUACUGAGAAAAGACUGUUUCAUAUGCACCAGGCGUACCAAACCAGAGUCUUGUCGCCUUAGGAUAAAAGUACAGAAAUUGUCUUUAUUAGAUGUUCCAAGAUUGAGAAUAAAUGUACAGUCAUAUUUUGUGUGUGUUUGUGUGUGUGAGACAGGCUUUCUGUCAUUGCAGACACAUGCUACAGUAUCUCAAUAUGGCAAUACAAAAUUCUGAUAAUUUUGUAACUUUCACAGAUACAAUUAAUGUAAAAUAUCUAACUGGUUUAAUUUGUAAAGGCACCAGUCGCAGCAAUUUACACUUUCAGUGCCAGAGAGGGUCACAAUUGCAUCAUUCUCUCCUCUGGCAAUGAAUGGUAAACCCUUCAGUCAAUUACAUUCAUACACCUUGAUUCUAAGUUUGCACAUAUAAUUACAUGGGUGGCAGAGAUGUUUCGUAAGUAAUGGCAUGCAAGAUAAUUGUAAUAAAGGUGUUCAUUUCUGCACCCUGCUCAUUGUUUUCUACUGUUAUAUUAGGUGUUCAUUCACAUAAAAUAAACCAACCUAUUUCUCAAUAUCAUUGAUGUCUAAUUUUCACUACAGUUGCUAUGGACAUACUUUUGACCAGCUAAAUACGAGAAAAUUAAGUCACCACUGCUUAAUAGCCAAAAGCUAUCCAUCUUUGCCCUUUUUAAUAUAAUCUUUGCAUCUAAAUGUUAAUGGCUUUAAUUCAUUUCGAAUUUUUAGCCCUAUCAUCACCUUAUUUAAAAAAAAAAAAAAAGGAAUGCAGAGCAAAACAAUAUUAGUGUAAAACAAAUGAAAAGGUUAAUAAUAGGGUCAACAUUACAUUACAAUGAAAACUAUGCAAUCUGUUUGGUCUGUUAGAACGCAUAAUAUACAAAUUUUUCUCAUUUUGUGUAGGCAAUAUUUUGAAUAUCCCCACAUUUAAAUCAUUUAACAAAUGACAUGAUAUGAAAGCACAGCUGAAAUCUAAACUAUUGCAAAAAUAUAAUAUCCUUAAUUAGUAAGGAGAACAUUAUCUUAUCAAUAAUGAUCUAUCCAGAAGUCUUUAUCAGCUUAAGCUUUAAGUUUUCAAUACAGUAUAUUUUUAUUACCUAAUCUAUCACUGGUAAUGAUUUCCGGACAGUUCAUUAUUUAAUCACUAUUUCUUGUGUUACAUUUCUUGCAUUGCAUUGAUAUAUAUCAACAAUCUACAUACAUUUCAGUGCUAUUUAGUCACUAUCAUAGUCUGCUCAUGGCAGAAACAAAAUGUCUUCCAUGGAUGAAAGGAUAUAGGAUGAACAAAUGCAAGCCAGAUCUUCCUGGGUCCCUGUGAAAAUCACAGCAACGAAUUCAAUAAAUUCAGUCUACAAGUUUUGCUAUAGUUAUUAAACCAACACUUUAGAAUGUGUUGUGAAGAUAGUGCAACAUGGAAAGUAUAUAGCCAAUAUGUUGUUUGAUGUCAUCUUCAAGAAGUUGAUUGGACCUUCUUUGAGGUUUGUUAGUCUAAAUGCUGCCCUGGUUUUAAAAAAUAAAGUUUCAUGUUCACUGUGUUAUCAAUGUUUAGAUACAAUAAGAUGCUGAAUUAUGAGUAUUCCCAAAAAUUUUACUUUGCAAAGUUUCAGAAAUAUCUUCUUGCUUCCCCUGAUUAUUUCUUGCUGGAAGAGGAAACAAGACCUCAUGAACCAUCAGCUUUAAAGAAUUAAUGAAAUAUAAAAGAAAAAAAAUCCUAAAAUAAUGAAAAUGUGUUGAACUGUCUGAUAAGUAUCUAAUAAUACCUCAUAGUGCAUUUUCUAGAAUGACCCCUUUUGGUAGACUUGGAGAUUUAUUUUGGUCAAAACUGCAAUUCACGGAAUUUGGACCAAUUGGGUGAUCGGUCGAAAUGCUGAAUUCCAAAUUAAAAUGUAUCCAAAAAUGAAACAUGCAAUGGCUUAGCAUGUGUGUUUUGGUUCAUGAAUCUGGAAUCUGCUCAUGGCAUCAUUAAAAAAAAUAGAUGAUUGAUGGAAAAAUAUUAUUGAUUGCUAGGGGACAGUCAUUGAAUCAAGAAUUAAAUCAACUCACAGAUCAAGUGAGAAGUGAGCAAUAAAGGGGGAAAAAGGAAGUGCAAUAAAAAAAUUAUAUAUCAUAUAUUUAUUAAAAAUAUUAUUUAUAAAUAGAGGGUUUUUUUCUGGCCCAUCUCUUUUGGUUACAUUUCCCCUUUGAUCUGUAAGACAAAUGGUGUGUAAAUGCUUGUAUCAGUGUACUGCAAAAUAUAUACAUAGUUAUAUAGAUACAUAGUAGUCUAGGUUGAAAAAAGACUGAAGUCCAUCAAGUUCUACCUUGAAACCCACUAUUUUAUGCUGUUGAUCCCAAAAGAGGCAAAAAGAAAAUCCUUCUUCACUCAAUAAAGGCAAUCACAUUUCUCCUUGGAUCAACAACCUGUUUGCAUUCAUAUCAAUAAUAUCCUUUAAUAUUUUGUUUUUGCAAAGAAAAUCAUCUAAGCCUUUUUUAAAAAAAAGGUCUGAUCAAAUAACCCCUUUAGGUAGAGAAUUCCACAUAUUAACUGUUCUAACUAUAAAGAACCCAUCCCUCUGGGAUAUUAUAGUCAAUAAAACAAUUUUAGCUUAAUGAAGAAGUUUUGGUGUACAGAUCAUCCCACUGCAGUCUUUUGGUGCCUAUAGACAUGAACCAUGUCUCACAAGUUUCACAAAACCAUGUUGAUUCCUGCUAAUGAUAUUGCUGUUAAAAUUAUUUUUUAAUAUUAUCCCUUAACAGCCCUUACAGUAAUUUCCCUACCACAAAUGAUAAGCUCAUGGGUCUAUAGUUUCCAGGUUUAGCUUUUAAACCCUUUUUUAAAUAUAGGUACCAGACCAAUCCAAUCCUCUAGAAUGAAAAGUAUCCUGAAAGAUUAAAAACAGUGUUAUGUAUAUUUCUACACUAAGUUCCUUAAGCACUCAUGGGUGAAUAUCAUCUGGCUCUGGGGCUUUGUUUACACUAACCAUAAUUGCUGUAGAACUUUAUCUUGUGUUAACCAAUCACCUGUUUGCUGUUAUCUACAGCUUUAGAUUCUUCUUCUCUAUAUACUGUAGAAAUAAAAUAAUCUAGAAUUUCUGCCUUAUCCUAAUCCUUCUUGAUUAGCAGAUCUGAGAUUCCAAUGGACCAACACAUUCUUUCUUUACCUUUUUGUCAUUAAUAAACUUACACAAUCUUUUGGGGGUUGGUCUUUCUCUUUUUGGCUUUUCAUUUUCAGUUUAAACGCAUUUAACUGCCCUGUUGCAAGCAUUAUUGGCAUUCGUAUAUUUGUCAUAGGAUGCUAAUGACCCCUCCAAUUUAAAUGUUUUAAAUUCCCUUUUCUUGUUGUUUGUUAUUUGACUAAUUCAAAUAUGAAGCCACAUUGGUAUUAAUGUGAUUUUUAUAUUUGUUUCACAAAGGUAUGUAUUGAAAAUUUUAGUUUUGUAUAACAUGUUUAAAGAUCUUCCAUGCCAGUCCAGCCAAUCUGCUGUAAAGAUGCCCUUAUCCUACUGAAAUUAGCCUUUUUUAAACUUAAGUAUUUUUGUAAAGUCCAUACAGUUUUUGUUUUGGUUAAUCUCAAAUGAUGCCAUAUUAUGGUCACUGUUUCCCCAAGUUCUCUUCUUGAAGAAAAUCCAGAGAAGCAUCUAUUUUAUUUGGUGUUUGUACUUAUUGAGAUAUAAAGUGUCAUUUAUCAGGUUCAAAAAACCUAGUCCCUCUGGCCCAAUCAAUAUCUGGAUAAUUACCCUUCUCCAUCUCAGUAAUAAUGUUUGGGGGCUUGUAACAUAGUCUUGCUAUUAAUGAAUGCCCUCUGUUUCCUCCUAUGCAUAUUUCUACCCAUAAGGUUUCUACAUGCUCACCUUUAUCAUUAUAUACAAGUUCUUUAACACUUGGCUUCAAAGAGGGUUUAAUAUAAAGACAUGCCCUGUCCCCUUUUCUAUUUUGUUCUAAGCUUCCUAAUUAAUGUAUAUCCAAUUAAAUGAAUAGCACAAUUGAGUGUUCUAUUCCACCAAGUCUCAGUAAUCCCAAAUAUGUCAUACUGCUAAUUGUAUAACAAUAGCUCAGGCUCCCCCAUAUUCUUACACAAGACUCUUGCAUUAGCAAGGAGAUAUUUAAAGUUACCAUUUGUUUAUUAAACUUUAUUUGAAGAGCAUGUAUUUAAUACAUUAUUGCUCUGUCUGCUAAUCUAACCAUUUUUGCC